rnacentral:lncRNA from 1 species
GUGGGUCUAAGGCUGAUUGAUACGCCGUGCGCACGCCAGCGCGUUCCUCUGUGGCAAGAGAGGGGGCCUGCGUGUGACGGAGCGUGCGUGGGAGGACGCGCGUGUGUGUGCGCCCUGAUCACGGUGGUCUGUGGGUGGGGCGGAUCGUGCGCGCCCGCCCGAUCUGUGCCCCCCAAGCCAGCAGCCUUGCCUUACUGGUACCAGUACCUGCCUGCUGCUACCAUCCAGUCAACAUGUGGCAUCUUCCAGGCCACUGCGAUGAAUCAGGGAUGAGCAUCUGACUCUGGUUGGUUCAAUCAGCUUGUCCAGGGACUUUGGGAAGAUUGGAAAGGAGGCCAGCUUUUUGGGCUGGGAUUGCUAAGAGACGUGAUGAUGAAGUGUGUGGCCUACCUGGCAUCUGGCCCCAGCUUCAGCUCCGUUUACUGUCUUGCUCCCCACCCUCACUAGCCUGCAUUGAAGCCUCCUCUGUGCCCCCCAACCCCUGAGUUUCUCAUCCCCAGAGAACCCAGCAUACACAGAAUUGAAGGGUUUUCUUAUUCAUCUUCCUGUGCUCACCCUGAGGACUGGGCCUGUGUCAUCAGCUAAUCACUGUCCCCGCAAGCACUCACAGUGGAAAAUGGAGUGCUACGCAGCCCUGCAGCUUGCCAUCUGGAACAGUUCACAGGCAAGGCCUCCCACACUGAACCCUGCUACAGCCAAAUAGUGCCAGCAACACAGAGCCACUUGUUACAUCAGCUCAGACCAAGCCACAUCCACAGGAGCAGUUGGUGAUUCCACAGAACCACAAGAGACUUGACCUCCUGGAAACGAAUUAACCAAGAUUAAUGAAAAAGAUUAAGGUCAUGUGCCCUGUAAAAGUGUCCCUCACUGGAUGAACUGUGACAAGGUCUGAACUCGGACCAGCAGGAGCCUUUGGGGGACCACGGAUUGCCCUUUACACUCCCACAGAUUUCUCUUGUCCGUCACUCACUCACAGUCCAGUAAGGAUCCUGCUGUCUAUUCUGCGAGGACAUGUUGAAUGCAGGGACAGCCAUUUGGAAGACUGUCCUCGAGGGUGGCAGCAGCCUCUCAGGACGGGUAAAGCCAAGGUGACCACUAAGCCCGUCUGGGGUGGAGGGUGGCAGGCGGGGGUGGAGAGGAUUCGAGGCCGCCUGAAGGAACCUGUGCUCGGAGACACUCAUUGUGCGGGUCUGACACCUCCCAGCUCAUCCUGUCCCCAUCUUCCCCUUGCGUCACGUCCCCACCCAGCAGGAGGAGAUCCGAGGCUUUGCGCGACGCUGGCCCCGCGGAGUGUGGGGGGCUUUUCCUCUCAACCACCAGUGCCCCACAAGCGUGGGUGAACUGUCCUCCCUGGCUACUGUGAGACGCUGGGCAGGCCAUUUCGCUUCUCUGGGCCUCGGUUUUCCUGCUUGUCAAAUGGGGCUGAUACCGGCGUGGGCUUCUUCGGGCGGUCGCGAGGGUUGACCCCUGGAGUCAGCGAGCCAGCCGCUAACGCGCUCCCGGGCGGAGGUCGGGACUGGGGGGCGUCACC